GUCUCCUUGAAAUCUUUGAAGCAAUAAACAUUUACAUUGAUAGACAGGCAGUACACAAAUACCUACAAUAAAACAAACUGAAAAAUUUUAACUGGAACAAACUGUUAGAUGAAAACUGAACAUGAUUGAACUACAGAAAAUGUUUUUCAUAUACCCUUCCCCAUUGUCUAUAGCCUAUUUAAGAGUAUGGUUGACAUUAUCCAUACUUGCAUUAUGCAUGACAUUGAAAGGAACAGACAUGCAUGUAUAUCUGAUAAUAAAAUGGAAUACCCAUCUUAUUUAUCAUCUUUAAGUUCCAGUUUUGUUUUGUCCACCUUGUCAAAUUUCCUACAUGCAGAAUGGUCAAAAUUUCAGCAACAAUUACUUUUGAAUCCUUAUGAUAAUGGUUCUCUCUAAUUGUCUGAUGGUGAUGUUUCAGUCACUCUUUCAUAAUGCCCACCCCUACCCCCAUCCAAAUAAAAUGAAUUCUAGAAUUUGAGUUUCCAAAGUCAUGUUCAAGAGUCACAACUUAAAGGGAACGUAGGGUCAAAAAUCAAAUUUUGAUAUGUGGAAACUAGUACCAUGCAGACAACAAAAUCUAGCAUAGAAAAAAUAAUUGCAGCUGAUAACAAGAUUUAAUCUGUCAUUUACACUGAAAACUGAGCUGAAUGGGAGAAUCUCUUAUCAUGGCGGCUGAUGACGUGUAUGCGGCAAUUCAUUACAACUGCUGUGCCUAGCACUAAAUGGGUUACAGAGUAUCUAUGAUCUAAAUGUCGGGAGUUCAAGCGAAAUUUUGCACUGUGGUCAAAGGAAAAGGAAUACAUGUAUCUACCUUUUAGCAUCCCUGAUCUCCCCCCAAAACUAUGAACAUUGUGCAAUAAUUGGAUACAUAACCUUGGAAAUGAAUCUUUUGUUUUUGAACGGCAUUUCGAGAAAGAGUCUUUUAAAGAGGAUAUCAGGCUAAUCCAUUUUCUUUUGGAAACCAAUGAAAACUCAUAUGCAAAACCUAUUGACCAACCUGGACUAUCAGCAUCUAAGGAAACAGCUCAAUGAAGACAUGAAUAGUGACAAAAAUAUCCCACUCUCAAUCCAUAUUGAAGAAUAAAUCAACUUUGUGCAACAUAUACAGAUAGAAUUGCCCAGUCAUUGUCCAUCAUAUGUGCUAAGGAAUGUUCAAGUGAAGAAUGAAGAAGUGAAGAUAAUGAACAAUCCUGUAUAAAGAAUACAAAAUUAAAAGUUUAAGAAUUAA